UUUUCCUGCAUAUUUUCCAAAACCUGGGCGAUAAUUACCACAGGCAGGGUGUUCAAGAGAGGGAGAUGCCGGAGAGGAGGAAGAAGAGGGAGAAGCAAAAGAAUGAGGUUUUUGUUCAUUUUCUUUCU
rnacentral:ribozyme from 13 species